UACGGAGGGGGCUAGCGUUGUUCGGAAUUACUGGGCGUAAAGCGUACGUAGGCGGCUUUGUAAGUUAGAGGUGAAAGCCCGGGGCUCAACUCCGGAAUUGCCUUUAAGACUGCAUCGCUUGAAUCAUGGAGAGGUGAGUGGAACUGCGAGUGUAGAGGUGAAAUUCGUAGAUAUUCGCAAGAACACCAGUGGCGAAGGCGGCUCACUGGCCCGGUACUGACGCUGAGGUGCGAAAGCGUGGGGAGCAAACAGG
rnacentral:rRNA from 1 species